AGAGUUUGAUUCUGGCUCAGGAUGAACGCUGGCGGCGUGCCUAACACAUGCAAGUCGAACGGAGUUCUUAAGGAAUGCGACUUCGGUCAAAUGACUUUUGAACUUAGUGGCGGACGGGUGAGUAACGCGUGAGCAACCUGCCUUUCAGAGGGGGAUAACAUUUGGAAACAGAUGCUAAUACCGCAUAAGAUUACAGUACCGCAUGAUACAGUGAUCAAAGGAGCAAUCCGCUGAAAGAUGGGCUCGCGUCCGAUUAGAUAGUUGGUGAGGUAACGGCUCACCAAGUCGACGAUCGGUAGCCGGACUGAGAGGUUGAACGGCCACAUUGGGACUGAGACACGGCCCAGACUCCUACGGGAGGCAGCAGUGGGGAAUAUUGCACAAUGGGCGAAAGCCUGAUGCAGCAACGCCGCGUGAGGGAAGACGGUUUUCGGAUUGUAAACCUCUGUUUUCGGUGACGAACAAAUGACGGUAACCGAGUAGGAAGCCACGGCUAACUACGUGCCAGCAGCCGCGGUAAUACGUAGGUGGCAAGCGUUAUCCGGAAUUACUGGGUGUAAAGGGAGCGCAGGCGGGAUAGCAAGUCAGCUGUGAAAACUAUGGGCUCAACCCAUAAAUUGUAGUUGAAACUGUUAUUCUUGAGUGGAGUAGAGGCAAGCGGAAUUCCGAGUGUAGCGGUGAAAUGCGUAGAUAUUCGGAGGAACACCAGUGGCGAAGGCGGCUUGCUGGGCUCUAACUGACGCUGAGGCUCGAAAGUGUGGGGAGCAAACAGGAUUAGAUACCCUGGUAGUCCACACUGUAAACGAUGAUUGCUAGGUGGUGGGGGGGUCUUGACCCCCUUCCCUGCCCGGAAUUAACGCAAU
rnacentral:rRNA from 1 species